CUGGCUCAGAACGAACGCUGGCGGCGCGCCUCAUACAUGCAGUCGAGCGAGAAAGCCCGCUUCGGUGGGUGAUUAAAGCGGCGAACGGGUGCGUAACACGUGGGCAACCUGCCUUUAGGUCUGGGAUAAGCCGCCGAAAGGGGGUCUAAUACCGGAUAACACCUUUCUAUCGCAUGGUAGAAAGUUCAAAGACCGCUUGCGGUCGCCUGAAGAUGGGCCCGCGGCCUAUUAGCUAGUUGGUGAGAUAACAGCCCACCAAGGCUACGAUGGGUAGCCGUCCUGAGAGGGUGAACGGCCACACUGGGACUGAGAUACGGCCCAGACUCCUACGGGAGGCAGCAGUAGGGAAUAUUGCGCAAUGCCCGAAAGGGUGACGCAGCGACGCCGCGUGGGUGAUGAAGCUUCUUGGAGCGUAAAGCCCUUUCAGAAGGGAAGAACCGCAUGGAGGUGAACCUCCGUGCCUGACGGUACCUUCAGAAGAAGCUCCGGCUAACUCCGUGCCAGCAGCCGCGGUAAUACGGAGGGAGCAAGCGUUGUUCGGAAUCACUGGGCGUAAAGGGCGCGUAGGCGGACCGGUGAGUCAGGUGUGAAAACCCGGGGCUUAACCCCGGGCCUGCACUUGAUACUAUCGGUCUUGAGUACGAGAGAGGAAAGCGGAAUUCCAGGUGUAGCGGUGAAAUGCGUAGAUAUCUGGGAGAACACCGGUGGCGAAGGCGGCUUUCUGGCUCGGUACUGACGCUGAUGCGCGAAGGCUAGGGGAGCAAACAGGGAUUAGAUACCCUGGUAGUCCUAGCGGUAAACGAUGGGCACUAGGUGUUGGAGGACUUACCCCUUCAGUGCCGCAGCUAACGCAUUAA
rnacentral:rRNA from 1 species